rnacentral:rRNA from 1 species
GACGAACGCUGGCAGCGUGCCUAAUACAUGCAAGUAGAACGCUGAAGGAGGAGCUUGCUUCUCUGGAUGAGUUGCGAACGGGUGAGUAACGCGUAGGUAACCUGCCUGGUAGCGGGGGAUAACUAUUGGAAACGAUAGCUAAUACCGCAUAAUAUUGACUAUUGCAUGAUAGUCAGUUGAAAGGUGCAACUGCACCACUACCAGAUGGACCUGCGUUGUAUUAGCUAGUUGGUGGGGUAACGGCUCACCAAGGCGACGAUACAUAGCCGACCUGAGAGGGUGAUCGGCCACACUGGGACUGAGACACGGCCCAGACUCCUACGGGAGGCAGCAGUAGGGAAUCUUCGGCAAUGGACGGAAGUCUGACCGAGCAACGCCGCGUGAGUGAAGAAGGUUUUCGGAUCGUAAAGCUCUGUUGUAAGAGAAGAACGAGUGUGAGAGUGGAAAGCUCACACUGUGACGGUAUCUUACCAGAAAGGGACGGCUAACUACGUG